rnacentral:sRNA from 5 species
AUAUCUCUCCGUACGGGAAGGAUGAGAAGCUUCGACUAAGGUUCGAUUCGAGCGAAAGCGAGAAAGCGUUGCCGCAGGCAACGGCCCGAAGGGCGAAGCGCGCAGCGCUGAGUAAUCCUUCCCCCACCACCA